rnacentral:rRNA from 1 species
CAGCCGGCCGCGGUAAUACAGAGGGUGCAAGCGUUAAUCGGAAUUACUGGGCGUAAAGCGCGCGUAGGUGGUUUGUUAAGUUGGAUGUGAAAUCCCCGGGCUCAACCUGGGAACUGCAUCCAAAACUGGCAAGCUAGAGUAUGGUAGAGGGUGGUGGAAUUUCCUGUGUAGCGGUGAAAUGCGUAGAUAUAGGAAGGAACACCAGUGGCGAAGGCGACCACCUGGACUGAUACUGACACUGAGGUGCGAAAGCGUGGGGAGCAAACAGGAUUAGAUACCCCCGUAGUCCCUGUCUCUUAUA